rnacentral:rRNA from 1 species
AUUGAACGCUGGCGGCAGGCCUAACACAUGCAAGUCGAGCGGAUGAUGGGAGCUUGCUCCUUGAUUCAGCGGCGGACGGGUGGGUAAUGCCUAGGAAUCUGCCUGGUAGUGGGGGACAACGUUUCGAAAGGAACGCUAAUACCGCAUACGUCCUACGGGAGAAAGCAGGGGACCUUCGGGCCUUGCGCUAUCAGAUGAGCCUAGGUCGGAUUAGCUUGUUGGUGAGGUAAUGGCUCACCAAGGCGACGAUCCGUAACUGGUCUGAGAGGAUGAUCAGGCACACUGGAACUGAGACACGGUCCAGACUCCUACGGGAGGCAGCAGUGGGGAAUAUUGGACAAUGGGCGAAAGCCUGAUCCAGCCAUGCCGCGUGUGUGAAGAAGGUCUUCGGAUUGUAAAGCACUUUAAGUUGGGAGGAAGGGUUGUAGAUUAAUACUCUGCAAUUUGACGUUACCGACAGAAUAAGCACCGGCUAACUCUGUGCCAGCCGCCGCGGUAAAAC